rnacentral:rRNA from 1 species
CACUCCUGCGGGAGGCAGCAGUGGGGAAUAUUGGACAAUGGGCGCAAGCCUGAUCCAGCCAUGCCGCGUGAGUGAUGAAGGCCCUAGGGUUGUAAAGCUCUUUCACCGGUGAAGAUAAUGACGGUAACCGGAGAAGAAGCCCCGGCUAACUUCGUGCCAGCAGCCGCGGUAAUACGAAGGGGGCUAGCGUUGUUCGGAUUUACUGGGCGUAAAGCGCACGUAGGCGGACUAUUAAGUCAGGGGUGAAAUCCCGGGGCUCAACCCCGGAACUGCCUUUGAUACUGGUAGUCUUGAGUUCGAGAGAGGUGAGUGGAAUUCCGAGUGCAGAGGUGAAAUUCGUAGAUAUUCGGAGGAACACCAGUGGCGAAGGCGGCUCACUGGCUCGAUACUGACGCUGAGGUGCGAAAGCGUGGGGAGCAAACAGGAUUAGAAACCCGUGUAGUCCCA